UACGAAGGGGGCUAGCGUUGCUCGGAAUGACUGGGCGUAAAGGGCGCGUAGGCGGUUUAGACAGUCAGGCGUGAAAUUCCUGGGCUUAACCUGGGGGCUGCGUUUGAUACGUUUAGACUUGAGGAUGGAAGAGGCUCGUGGAAUUCCCAGUGUAGAGGUGAAAUUCGUAGAUAUUGGGAAGAACACCGGUGGCGAAGGCGGCGAGCUGGUCCAUUACUGACGCUGAGGCGCGAAAGCGUGGGGAGCAAACAGGAUUAGAUACCCUGGUAGUCCACGCUGUAAACGAUGUGCGCUGGAUGUUGGGUGGCUUAGCCACUCAGUGUCGUAGCUAACGCGAUAAGCGCACCGCCUGGGGAGUACGGCCGCAAGGUUGAA
rnacentral:rRNA from 1 species